UACGAAGGGGGCUAGCGUUGCUCGGAAUUACUGGGCGUAAAGGGCGCGUAGGCGGACAUUUUAAGUCAGGGGUGAAAUCCCAGAGCUCAACUCUGGAACUGCCUUUGAUACUGGGUGUCUUGAGUGUGAGAGAGGUAUGUGGAACUCCGAGUGUAGAGGUGAAAUUCGUAGAUAUUCGGAAGAACACCAGUGGCGAAGGCGACAUACUGGCUCAUUACUGACGCUGGAGGCGCGAAAAGCGUGGGGAGCAAACAGG
rnacentral:rRNA from 1 species